UACAGAGGUCUCAAGCGUUAAUCGGAAUUACUGGGCUUAAAGGGUCCGCAGGCGGACCAGCAAGUACCUUGUGAAAUCUCAGGUCUCAACCCUGAGUCUGCUGGGUAGACUGCUGGUCUUGAGUGCAAAAGGGGUCGCUGGAACUCUAGGUGGAGCGGUGAAAUGCGUAGAUAUCUAGAGGAACGCCAAAGGUGAAGACAGGCGACUGGUUUGCAACUGACGCUCAUGGACGAAAGCGUGGGGAGCAAACAGG
rnacentral:rRNA from 1 species